GACGAACGCUGGCGGCGUGCUUAACACAUGCAAGUCGAGCGGUAAGGCCCUUCGGGUACGACGAGCGGCGAACGGGUGAGUAACACGUGGGUGACCUGCCCUUAGCUCUGGGAUGAGCCUGGGAAACUGGGUCUAAUACCGGAUAUGACCUCAUGACGCAUGUUGUGGGGUGGAAAGCCUUGUGCGGCUAGGGAUGGGCCCGCGGCCUAUCAGCUUGUUGGUGGGGUGAGGCCUACCAAGGCGACGACGGGUAGCCGGCCUGAGAGGGCGACCGGCCACACUGGGACUGAGACACGGCCCAGACUCCUACGGGAGGCAGCAGUGGGGAAUCUUGCGCAAUGGGCGAAAGCCUGACGCAGCGACGCCGCGUGAGGGAUGACGGCCUGG
rnacentral:rRNA from 1 species